rnacentral:lncRNA from 1 species
UUCUCACCAAAAUAGCCGCAGUCUCCCUUUUCUCUAUAUUUUCUCUUUCUCUAACCCGACGAAAAUCGCCGCUCCUUUGACCUCUACAUCUCCGCCGCCGACAAAGACACCACCAGCAGCUCAUAUCGGAUGAAACCAGCCAACCGUCGCCAUCAUCGCUGUCACCAUCCACCUCCGGCGCCGCUGCAAGCAGCCAUGCAGCCGGCGAUCCUCCCAACGCCGCUGCCACCUCCGAGGCCCUCCACCGACAACAAUAUCAACGACCAAGUCGCCAACAGUACCAAUGCCGCCGCCGCCUUCCACCAGCGUUGCCAGCAUCCAAGACGCCGUCCCUCACCGGCAACCGACACCAGCGAUCCAGCAGUCCGUACCACCACCAGGACACCAACAUCCACCCUUAUCCUUUAGAGCCACCAAAUCACCCGCCACCGCCACCCUUUCCACUUGUCCGACUCACCAAAAAAUCAUGAAGGAUUCGUAAUAGAUUCGUCCAGGUUCGUAUCCUUAUUUAAUUUCAUUAACGUUAUCUUUUUUUUCUCAUUCUUUGACAGAUUGUUAAAUUUAAAAUCAGUGACAUUUGGUGUUGAUUUUCUGAUCUAAUUCUCUUAGUUUAAUAUUUUAUUUGUGUUCUUUAAUCAACAUAUGUUUAAAAUCUCACAAUUUUACAAACUACUGCAAGAUCAAUUUGACACAAUUCUGGGUAUGCUGGUGAUUAUUGUUGCUGUUGUUCACUUGAAAAUUAAUAUGUGUGAUUGUUGUUAACUGAUGUUGUUUAUACCAUUUUAAUUAUUGAGUUUCUCUAUGAAUGACUUGGUAAUAUAAUUUUCAUUCCUUCUCUCAUGAUUUGAAUAAUUGAUCCUCAAAUUUUACAAUUUCAUUGAUCUAAUAUUUUUUCCUUUUAACUUGACUGUUUUCCUUUUGAAAAGAUGGUUGCAAUUGAUUCUCAUCUUCUGAAGAGAUUUUGCUAAAUUAGUAUUCUCCUCUUUUCUUAGGCUAAUUUACAUACUCUUAAGUGACAUAAUGAUUUGCCUUAAUUAGUCUGCAUGUUCAAGAAGUGUGAGACCCCGCAAAAUUCUAAGCUUAAUUCAGUCCUUUCGGCUUGUCAAGGGGUCCCAGACUUAGAAUAUUUUAGCUAAGUACUCAGACUCAGUGUCAUUUUAACCUACAAAGGUUGGCAGUCUUAUUUCGCGACCUUUACGUCCAUUAAAUGUUGAUGUUUAGGUUGAUUCAUGAUCAGGAAUGUUCGUAGGUCUUUUCAAACAAGUUUUGGAUUUUUGGGAUUUCAUUUGAAGCUAUUUUGGAAACAUAAAACAGUGGAUCAACGCGAUUUUGGCGCGCUGCAUCGACUAUCGCAUUGAUUAAUAUUUUCCCUAGUUACCAGCAUCCAAAUCCAGUGAAUCGAUGCAAACAUGGUGCGAUGCGUUGGCUAUCGCGUCGACCUGUGCAUCGGUAAUUCAGUUUUCAGUCAUUAAAAUACUGCAUUCUUAGGGCUAUUUAGGUCUUUUUCCCUCGAACCUCAGCCCCCCAAACACGAAAUUAAACUCCCUAUAGAGCAAAUAUAGUCAUUCUUUCUCAAAUAUGCUCAAGAACAAAACCCUAAAAGAUCUAAUUUCAAAUCAAGAACUCAAGAUUCAACCAUAAGCUUUCAGAAAUUCUUCAACAAAGGUAUGUGAAGUGUUCAUCCAAGGGUUUCUUCCACCCUUGGAGUCCAAGAAUCUCUUUUGAACUUCAAGUAAUUGAUUUUAUGAUUUAUUUGUAGUAAGUUCCUAUAUCAUGAUUUUAUAUAUAUAUAUAUAUAUAUAUAUAUAUAUAUGAUGUGAAAUUGAUCAUUAUGUGUGUAGAUUUAUGUGAAUCCAUGAUAAACUCUUGACUUGUGAAAUUAGAGAUAAAUUAUGACAAUCACUUGUUGUUCAAUACUAUGUGUAUAUACUAUACUCACCAAGUGCUUGAUGAAUUGUCCAUGUGAACUAUUAAGAGAAUGAAAUCAUGUCAAGUUAGCUUAUGUGCAAGUUAUAUCAUACAAGUGUUUAUCAAAAUUCUCUAAUGAAUGAAUGAUGAUCAAGUUCAUAGUUUACAUGUUUCAUGUUAAGCCAGGUCUCUUAAUUAUGCUAUCGAGUCCUGGGGGUACUUGUACCUAACAAUUUAGCUGAUUACCUAGAGCCAUGGUCAGUUAUAGAACAAUAUCAAUCACGACAUGAUUAGUCAUACUCUCAGUCAGUUACAGAACUCAAGAAAACUCAGUAGAAUCCAUAUUAAUCCAGUCUAAUUCAGUAUCCAGUUCAGACCCCAGUAAACUCAGUCAGCUAAUAGAAUUCAGUAGUAUUCCAUCAUUCAACGGAACUGAGUGAACUUAGUUCAGUUCAGCUAAACAGUAAUCUCAGUAACCGUUCAGUACAGCCUGGUACAGACUAAAAAUCAAUUCAGUGUCUAUUCAGCUGGGUGUAGGAUUUAGCAUCGAGUUAACCCAGGGAUGGGGGUAUUCCUGUCAGCAAAGGGUUUGACCUUUAGCAGCAAUCCCUGCGUUACAGAACUACGUAGCCUACGUAGGUUGAGGUAUCUUCCUGCCAGACAUUAUGAGGGUUGAUACUUCUCAUCUGAGUUAUCCUGCCAGCGAGGAUUGAUGAAAGAGCUUUCGGUCAGAGAGGGUUAACUCACAGCUUGUCCUUAUCCGUGGCACGGUAUUGACACCUUUCCAACUGGGGUUACAGAUUGGACACCAAAUUAGUUAGGGAAGUGGCAUGUCGGCUAGAUGAUUACCUCCCACAGUUUCAGUUCCAGUCUCAGUCUCAGAAUAGAACUCAGUUCAGUUCUACAGAUUCAGGACUAUCAGACAUAGUCACUCCGCUCAGUACGAAACUCAGUAUGGUUCUACAGUACUCAGAACUAUUAGAUACAAUCAUUUAAAUAAUUAGUAAUAUAGUAUUCGUAAACUCAGAUAUUGAUUAACAGUAUUCCGAUUCAGUACUCAAUAUGUAUUAUGCAUAUACUCUUACUCAGUCAUACUCAUGUUAUUCAGUUAAUAUUGUGCAUGCAUAUGAACCCAUGAAUAUCAGCCUACCUUACUGAGCAUACCAGUAUAUUCAAAGUAUUGACACAUGCUUUUCUUUGCGUUGUGACGUCUUAUAUCAUAGGUUCAAAAGCACGGGCUCCAGAGCACCCUUAGCAGUUCAGAUUCUCAGCUUUCAGAGUAGUGAUGAGUCCUCAUAGUUCAAGGACAUACUUAUUAUUUACAGUACUUCAAUUUUAUUUCAAUAGAUGGAGUUAUUUGGGGGUUUUUCCCAUCAACUCCACAAUUCAGACAGUUAGACGUUUUUUCAGACUAGAGUAUUUUCAGACAGUUGUUCAAUUUUUCUAUACUUAAAUUCAGUUUUGGUAUUUUGAUACCGCAUUCAGAUUUAUUUACAGAUUUGAACCUUUAUUGUAGCGGGGAUUAUGAGCACCAUAUAGCGUCCAGGGUACAGACUCGGGGCAUUACAAAAAGGAAAUUUGGAUUAAUUGAUAUUUUUCUUUCCUUCUAUUUAUUUUGACUGAUUAUAUUAGUAAGUGUGAUCUUUAUAUUUAAGGCAAUUUUGUUGAUUGAUUACAUCACAUAUUAUGUUGAUUGAUACUUCUUUUCAUUUUAUUAGUUUAGAUUGAUUUUAAAUUAUUUGAAUGAUAUAAUUGUGAUUGAUUAAUUACAUAAUAUAUUCUCUUUUCCUUCUUAUGGCGUGUUGAUCUAUUUCUCCACUAUAUAAACAACCCUUUCCCCCUUCUUAAGACAACUUACAAUAUACACCCCCUUUCCUCUUUUAAACUUACAAUCUCUACACUCUUUAUUCUCCACACAAAAAGGGCUUAAAGCAUUAUUCUCAAAACAAAGAACAUUACUGUUUUUUUACACUUCAUUCAUUUGUGAUGAUUCGUGCUUAGACUCUGUGUUGCUUGAUUCUCUUAUUCUUGUUUGUUAUUGUCAACUGGUG